rnacentral:lncRNA from 1 species
AAAGGAUGAAAUGAUCUAAUGAUCAAAAUUAGUCUGGCACUACAACAGAAUUAGAUUAUAGAGACACAUGUUUGGGACACUUUUGAGUAAGUGUCCCAUUUAUGCUAAAACUUAAAAAAAACAUCUACUAAUGCCUAAAUAUAAAGCCCAAUCCAACCAAAAAUAAAAGAUUACUCUACUCAACCCACCACACCCAGUUUAUUUGGCCCGAUUACAAACAGAAAAGAAAAAAAAAGAAAAAUAAAUUACCAUCUUUUCUUCUCUCUUCACUCAAUCCAGUGAAAUUCUAGACGAAGAGCCUUUCGUGUCGUUCUUCUCCGCCACCGCAGACAACGAGAUAGAGUUUUGACGGUUGCUAAAUGUUUAAAUAAGUGUUGGUAAAUUAGCAGCACUCUUUUAGGUUAUACCGACACUCUUUAACUGUCACUAUAUACCUAGCGACCCCACAUAUAGCAACACUUUUUAAAAGUGUCGGUAAUUUUAGCUAGCAGCACUUUUUUGACAUGUACCUAUAUUUAAAAGUGUCGNCGGUAAUUUUAGCUAGCAGCACUUUUUUGACAUGUACCUAUAUUUAAAAGUGUCGUUAUAGACCGUUUUUGUUGUAGUGUGAAAAAUUACUAGAAAUUAGAAAAUAAUAAUAAUAAUAAUAAUAACAAAGAACAAAAUAUAUAAAUAUAAUUUG